rfam:Solanum lycopersicum cultivar Heinz 1706 chromosome 1, whole genome shotgun sequence.
GGAUGCGAUCAUACCAGCACUAACGCAUUGGAUCCCAUCAGAAGUCCAAAGUUAAGCGUGCUUGGAGGAGAGUAGUACUAGGAUAGGUGACCCCCUGGGAAGUCCUCGUGUUGCAUCAU